GCUACUUUCCCUUACAGUGGACUCCGUACUCUAUUCAUUGAUGCCGGAAACUGAGCUGAAAGUAUUUCACACGCUGCUCGCCAUGCAACUUUAGCCUGAAUAUCCCGGUCACUGCUGCUGAUAAACAUCCCUGCAGCGUGAUGCUCCCACCACCAAGUGUCAUGCUAGGGAAGGAACAGACCAGAUCUCCAAAGUGACCUGGUUCUGGUCCCGCAGGGUCAGAUGGGAUCUUUAGGAAGUCAAGAACGAGUGUACACGAUGCUUUUUCCCAUUUUCCAAUCUUCCUUCCCAACCCAGUUUGCAUUUCUUUUAGCAACGUCUUGCGGCGGCGUAACACAAUCAGAGGGAAGUGCUGUCCUACCUCGUCCAAAGCACAAGAUCUCACAGACACAUAUGACUGGCUAGUGUCACCGUGACUGGCAAAGGAGCGACACCAUCCUCCUCCGACAACUUCUUCAUCACUGACCCUGCAGUCACACCAUCAGAUGACGAAGAGGCGGACGAUGACUCGUUUUCCAUGAGCGUACAUGCGCGACUAUGUUUUAAUCCUAGGUAAAUUAGAAUGCAAAUCCAAAUGGUUGGUUCUAAUUAUUCUCCAGACCAAUCCUAUGAUGCACACGGUGUGACAAUUCCACAGUCCCCCUGUCAAAACUUUAGCUCCUACCUGCAGUUUAAGAAUUGGAUACACUAGGCGGUAUUAGGCCACGUCUUUACCAACAAGACGAUCGGUGCUUUUUGUGGAGGUGUAGGAUUUACAUAAUACAUCCACCAUGUUGAGGGUUAUGCACUACCCCAUACAUAUUUUAAGCAGCGGUCUGUCUACUCAUACAGUCCUGAGCGUCACUGGGACACCGUGUAUAGAGAUUACAUCUGGCCAUGAGACAUGAGAGACCCGGUCACUGAUUAAAACCCUGGACUUGGCAUAUUAUUGGCAUAAACAGUGUCUUACGCGUUUUACAACCCCAGUUCCCAAAAUGCUGUGGGAAUGCUGUGUAAAAGAGAGACUCUGCCUCUCUAAGAUACUCUUUUUAUACCCAAUCAUGUUAUAACCUGUUGCCAAUGAACCUAAUCAGUUGCGAAAUGUUCCUCCUUGAAAGGUUUCUUCUUUAGUAACACUUACUUCUCCAGACCCCCGUCCCAACGGAUAACACGGCCCUAUGUCCCUACGAUAACACGGCCCCAAUUCCAAAAGAGUUGGGACGCUGUGUAAAAUGUAAAUAAAAACAGAACGCAAUGAUUUGCAAAUCUCAUAAACCUGUACGUUGUUCACGACAGAACAUGGAAAACAUAUCAAAUGUUUAAACUGAGGAAUUGUUCCGUUUUAAGAAAUUUUAUUUUUUUUGAAUUUCAUGGCCACAACACGUCUCAAAAAAGUUGGGACGGGGGCAGCAAAAGGCUGGAAAAGUAAGUGUUACUGAAAAUAAACAGCUGGAGGAACAUUAUUUAUCUAAUUAUAUUAAUUAGCAACAGGUCAGUAACGUGACUGGGUAUAAAAAACGUCUUUCAGCCGUUUUCCAGCCUUUUGUUGCCCCCGU